rnacentral:rRNA from 1 species
GUGUUCCUACGGGGCGCAGCAGUGGGGAAUAUUGCACAAUGGGGGGAACCCUGAUGCAGCGACGCCGCGUGGGUGAAGAAGUCAUUCGUGACGUAAAGCCCUAUCAGCAGGGAAGAAAAUGACGGUACCUGACUAAGAAGCCCCGGCUAACUACGUGCCAGCAGCCGCGGUAAUACGUAGGGGGCAAGCGUUGUCCGGAUUUACUGGGUGUAAAGGGAGCGUAGACGGCGGCGCAAGUCCGGAGUGAAAGCCCACGGCCCAACCGUGGGGCUGCUCUGGAAACGUUGCGGCUU